AGUGAACGCUGGCGGUAGGCCUAACACAUGCAAGUCGAACGGCAGCACAGUAAGAGCUUGCUCUUACGGGUGGCGAGAGGCGGACGGGUGAGGAAUACAUCGGAAUCUACUUUUUCGUGGGGGAUAACGUAGGGAAACUUACGCUAAUACCGCAUACGACCUACGGGUGAAAGCAGGGGAUCUUCGGACCUUGCGCGAUUGAAUGAGCCGAUGUCGGAUUAGCUAGUUGGCGGGGUAAAGGCCCACCAAGGCGACGAUCCGUAGCUGGUCUGAGAGGAUGACCAGCCACACUGGAACUGAGACACGGUCCAGACUCCUACGGGAGGCAGCAGUGGGGAAUAUUGGACAAUGGGCGCAAGCCUGAUCCAGCCAUACCGCGUGGGUGAAGAAGGCCUUCGGGUUGUAAAGCCCUUUUGUUGGGAAAGAAAAGCAGCAGGUUAAUACCCCGCUGUUCUGACGGUACCCAAAGAAUAAGCACCGGCUAACUUCGUG
rnacentral:rRNA from 1 species